UCUUGCCCCGAAGGCAUUGGACCCAGGGCUUUAACAGCUGGAAGACAAUCCCCCAGUCAAAUGUGGAAAGGCAAAAAGGGUAUAUUUUUCCCAUGUCCACAGCAAAAUUCCAAAGGGUGGUCCUUGGGAAGUCAAGGUGGACCUGACGGAAGAGGUUCACCAAAUUAGAAGGGAGGUGGAGCCCGACGGUUUUAUCCACGAGGUCCCAAAAUUAAAACUGCAAGUGGAACUUGAUGUGCUGGAGGGGACAUUAAAAGAUGCAGACCAGCGGACAUCAUUGGUUCAUUUGCUGGCCAAAGUAGGGGGCAAGACGGUGAAGGAUGCAACCAAUAAAAUAUUGGACAGGUAUGAACAUCAUACAGACACUGUAAUAUCUGCCAAAUAUAGAAGUCAAAAGUAAACCAUAAACAAACAACUGAAAUUGCAGGGAUACAUUAUGGAGGAAUUACUGGCAGUUGAAAAUGCGGAAGUGACCCUAUUUUGUGAUUCUCAGACUUUUCACAAACCAAUUAAUGCCCACUUUCAACAUGAAAGGGGGUGGCCAAAAAAACAAGAAGGCUUUUAGGGUUACUGGGCUGUACGCGGUGAUUAAAAGGUAUGUUCAGAUAUGUAAAAUACAUUUAAUGAGUGGUUGUACUGUAAAAGUCUAUUUUCAUGUUGAUAUAUAAUCAAUAAGGCUGUCAUGCGGCCAUACAGCAGUGCCACAGAGGCAGAGGUUAAUAAGGCGAUGGCGGACCAUUUGAAGCAGGCUCCUGGGAGGUCCGGUGGGGGCGGUUUUUAAAAAAGGAGACGUCACAGACCGGACGUAACUAGUUCAAUUGUUGGAUCAGAAUGUUCUUUUGCAGUUUCAGUUCACAUGUAUAUUUCUUUUAAAUAUUUUUAUAUUUUAUGAAAUACUCAUAUUUAGACUUGUAUGAUUGUUUUUAAGAAUCAUUAUGUAUGUUGUAAUUAUAUUGUUUAUUAAUAAUAAAUACUAAUUAAUGAAACAA
ensembl:lncRNA